UAAUGUGAACUUGAGAGAGAUGCGUGACGGUACUGGAAGCGAAUCCACUUUUUUCGACAGCGCGAAGAAUCGAAUAAAAAGUUAGGACCGUAUGGGAAAUUGUUUCUAAGUUUUUGGUGCAAAAAACCAUUAGUGAUAAGGAAAACCUG
ensembl:ncRNA F54C9.15 ncRNA